rnacentral:rRNA from 1 species
GACGAACGCUGGCGGCGUGCUUAACACAUGCAAGUCGAACGGAAAGGCCCUGCUUGCAGGGUACUCGAGUGGCGAACGGGUGAGUAACACGUGGGUGAUCUGCCCUGCACUUCGGGAUAAGCCUGGGAAACUGGGUCUAAUACCGGAUAGGAGCUAUUUUUAGUGUGAUGGUUGGAAAGUUUUUUCGGUGUAGGAUGGGCUUGCGGCCUAUCAGCUUGUUGGUGGGGUAAUGGCCUACCAAGGCGGCGACGGGUAGCCGGCCUGAGAGGGUGGACGGCCACAUUGGGACUGAGAUACGGCCCAGACUCCUACGGGAGGCAGCAGUGGGGAAUAUUGCACAAUGGGCGCAAGCCUGAUGCAGCGACGCCGCGGGGGGGAUGACGGCCUUCGGGUUGUAAACUCCUUUCGCUAGGGACGAAGCUUUUUGUGACGGUACCUAGAUAAGAAGCACCGGCUAACUACGUG